rnacentral:rRNA from 1 species
AACGAACGCUGGCGGCAGGCCUAACACAUGCAAGUCGAACGCCCUAGCAAUAGGGAGUGGCAGACGGGUGAGUAACGCGUGGGAACUUCCCUGUGGUGCGGAAUAACUCGCCGAAAGGCGUGCUAAUACCGCAUAAGCCCGCAAGGGGAAAGAUUUAUCGCCAUAGGAUGGGCCCGCGUAGGAUUAGCUAGUUGGUGAGGUAAUGGCUCACCAAGGCGACGAUCCUUAGCUGGUUGAGAGAAUGACCAGCCACACUGGGACUGAGACACGGCCCAGACUCCUACGGGAGGCAGCAGGUGGGGAAUCUUGCGCAAUGGGCGAAAGCCUGACGCAGCGACGCCGCGUGAGGGA